rnacentral:lncRNA from 1 species
ACAUAACAGAUUAAAACGUCCUGUUUGUAAGUAACAUUUCUUAAACACACAUAAAACAGGGUAAAAAUCUACUAACAUACAAACUUACGUUUAUAUAUAAAGAACUGAAGCAUUAGAUCUGUAAAAAGUUUACGAUGACAACCAUCAUUUACGUUUCGAUUUUUCUCUUGAUAUGCUUACGCGCAUUGCAUGGUGCUAACAUUGAUCAUUUAAAAAAAUAUGGAUAUAAUUGUUACUACAAAAAUGAAAAUGAAGAAAUUCCUGUUGAAUGCGAUCCUGGGCAAGCUUGUUAUGCAAUCAUUUCAAUUCAGCACAGAAAUUCCACAUGGAAAAUAAACAAUAAUUCCUUGGGAUGUUGGGAUAUGCAAUCUCAUUGCACUAAAGACAUGUGUUCUGUAGAUCUUCCGAACUUUAUAUGGGUAAAUCAUAAUUUUCCAAGGUUUUGUUGUUGCACUGGAGACUUUUGCAAUAAAAAUAUUAAACUAACAUGAAAUUUAUCUGAAAUAAAAAUGAAUUCGUUUAUUAUAAAAUUUGUAUUUACAAAGAUUUAAUUAGUAAAAAAUGUUCAUGCUACGUAUUGUUAACUUAUGGCAUCUCAAAUGGUUUCAUUCUUUAAUAGAAUGUGCACAACUUACGCAAUAUAGUGAACAACUUACGCAAUAUAGUGACAACUUGUAGAAGGGUGUCGCUAACAAAGAAGAAUUUCAGUCGUUAUUAUUUUUUUAUGAGAUUGCUACAAUGUUUUUUUUAAUAUUAUAUUAUGCAAAUAAUAUUAUUAAUAAAGAA